UACGGAGGGUGCAAGCGUUAUCCGGAUUCACUGGGUUUAAAGGGAGCGUAGGCGGGUUGGUAAGUCAGUGGUGAAAUCUUCAAGCUUAACUUGGAAACUGCCGUUGAUACUAUCAAUCUUGAAUAUUGUGGAGGUAAGCGGAAUAUGUCAUGUAGCGGUGAAAUGCUUAGAUAUGACAUAGAACACCAAUUGCGUAGGCAGCUUACUACACGAUCAUUGACGCUGAGGCACGAAAGCGUGGGGAGCAAACAGG
rnacentral:rRNA from 1 species